UGUUCCUGGAGAGCUACCCUCCUGUAGGUUUUCAAUCCAACCCUGUUCCUGGAGAGCUACCCUCCUGUAGGUUUUAACCUCAACCCUGUUCCUGGAGAGCUACCCUCCUGUAGGUUUUCAAUCCAACCCUGUUCCUGGAGAGCUACCCUCCUGUAGGUUUUCAAUCCAACCCUGUUCCUGGAGAGCUACCCUCCUGUAGGUUUUCAAUCCAACCCUGUUCCUGGAGAGCUACCCUCCUGUAGGUUUUCAAUCCAACCCUGUUCCUGUAGAGCUAACCUCCUGUAGGUUUUAAAUCCAACCUUGUUCCUGGAGAGCUACCCUCCUGUAGGUUUUAACCUCAACCCUGUUCCUGUAGAGCUAACCUCCUGUAGGUUUUAAAUCCAACCUUGUUCCUGGAGAGCUA